CAAUACUGUUGUUUUAAUGUUUAAUAAAAACCUUUAUUUUAUAUUUUUUGAAACAUAAAAAAAAACUUUAGAAAACCUAAAGCCUUUCCUUUUUCUUUUUGAAACCUUUGAUUUAAAAAACAAAAACCCUAAACUUUUCUCCUUUCCUCCACUAUUUGGCCGACGCCUCCUUCAUCGGAGAUCUAGUGCGCCCAGCCACCGACAAAACGAGCUCGACCCCAGUUCGUAACUGAGCACGUUUCUGACGUGGCUUAGUGGAGGAGCGUACGACAUGGAGGUGGUGUUUGGUGCGCGAGGGAGGCGUGCGGCGGCUGAGACCUUUAGGUAUACUAGGGUUUUUCAAAAAUGUUAAAGUUUUGGGUUGAAAUUUUGGGCUAGUGUUAGGUGUUUGGAUUGGGUUUCAGGUUUGGGCCUAUUGUAAUUGGGUUUAAGGCUUUGGGUUGGUUUUGGUUGAUUAAAUUAGGUGUUAUUUUAGUUUUUGUGUUGGGUAUGUAAUUUGGACUUUGUUUUUUUUUUUAUUUGGUCUGCUUUUGUUUUGGUUUUGGUAGUGUUCUGGGCCCCGGGCGAAAUGGGCUGUCUACACACACUAUCAAUUAAAACUUAAAAAAUUGAGAGUGAGAAAUGACAAUAAUUAGAAAGCAAA